AAAAAAAAAAACAGUGUGAAAACAGAAUCCACGGUAGUAAUACGAAGUUAAAGGAAUGAUGGGUGUAUCAUUUAAAGCCAAAGAAGAAAAAAAGGAAAAAACAAAAAACACAGCUGGCAUUUAUUGAUUAUUGCUCACCAAGCACUGUUUUUAAUUAAUCCUCACAGGAUCUUAGAAGUGAGUACUAUUCUUAGCUCCAUUUUACAGAAGAGGUCCAGAGAAUUUGAACAAACUUGCUCACACCAGACAGCCAGUAAGUAGUCCAGUAGAUAUUUAACCCCAGGAGCUUUGACAUUAGAACAUGUGCACCUAAAAACUGCAUUGUGCUACCCAAAAUGUGCUGACUCCCCCCAAAUCUCUCUAUGUGUUUGUACUAUCACAUCUGACCACUGGGAUCUUCAUCCCUCUUUCCAUCUCUGUGCUCUGUAUUUUGCCAUACUCAAUCUGUUCCAAUGUUAUGCCCUCAGAAGAGCCAUCCUGAAGAAAACCAGUUGUUGUCCAGUCAAGUCUGACACGUGACAACCCCAUGUGUGUCAGAUUAGAACAACGGCUCAUUUUCUAGAACUAGAUCACCAGGCCUUUCUUCUGGGCUGCCUCUGGGUGAACUUAAAUCACCAACCUUUCAGUUAGCAGCUGAGUGUGUGAACUGUUUACAUCAUUCCCCAGUCUAGAAUAGCACCCCCUCUGGUCGUUCGGGUUCUCUUACUCUGUUUUCUUUCUUGGCUCUCAUUUCAAACUGGUAAAUAUUGCAUAUGUAUUUGUUCAUGGCCUUCAGCCUGUGGACCUCCAGAAUGUCAGCUCCUUGAGAGCGAGGGCUUUGUAAGUCUCCAGAUCACUGUGCCUCCUUCAAGCUGGACUAUAACAAGGCUCUGUGGAAAUAAGCAUCAUAAGGAGAUGCAAAUGUUGAAGAGGAAGGAGGAAGAGCUGGACUGAGCAAGCCAAAGUGAUAUGGGGCUGAAAGAAGGCGGACUCAAUAGCAGCUUCAGUUCUGAGUCAGCAGGGUGUCCAGGGCCAUAGUCUCGGGGGUUCCUCCAGUCUUUGUCAGACCAAUUCAUGGAGCAUUUUGAUAAUUCGUUUCAAGAGGACAGAGUCCAGAUUUGUCUUGUGCACCUACCACCAUAUUUCCCACGCCUGACAAGGUGUCAGAAACCUAACAGGCACUCAACUAACGUUUUUCAAUAAAUGCGUGGAUGA